AGCAGCCGCGGUAAUUCCAGCUCCAAUAGCGUAUAUUAAAGUUGUUGAGGUUAAAAAGCUCGUAGUUGAACCUUGGCCCUGGCUGGCUGGUCCGCCUCACCGCGAGCACUGGUCCGGCCGGGGCUUUCCCUCUGGGGAUCCUCAUGCCCUUCACUGGGUGUGCUGGGGAACCAGGACUUUUACUGUGAACAAAUCAGAUCGCUCAAAGAAGGCUCUCGCUCGAAUGCUUCAGCAUGGAAUAAUGAAAUAGGACGCGCGGUUCUAUUUUGUUGGUUUCUAGGACCGCCGUAAUGAUUAAUAGGGACAGUCGGGGGCAUCAGUAUUCAAUUGUCAGAGGUGAAAUUCUUGGAUCAAUUGAAGACUAACUACUGCGAAAGCAUUUGCCAAGGAUGUUUUCAUUAAUCAGGAACGAAAGUUAGGGGAUCGAAGACGAUCAGAUACCGUCGUAGUCUUAACCAUAAACUAUG
rnacentral:rRNA from 1 species